rnacentral:rRNA from 1 species
GACGAACGCUGGCGGCGUGCCUAAUACAUGCAAGUCGAGCGGACUGACUGGGAGCUUGCUCUUGUUCGGUCAGCGGCGGACGGGUGAGUAACACGUGGGCAACCUGCCCGCAAGACCGGGAUAACUCCGGGAAACCGGAGCUAAUACCGGAUAACACCGAAGACCGCAUGGUCUUUGGUUGAAAGGCGGCGCAAGCUGCCACUUGCGGAUGGGCCCGCGGCGCAUUAGCUAGUUGGUGAGGUAACUGCUCACCAAGGCGACGAUGCGUAGCCGGCCUGAGAGGGUGACCGGCCACACUGGGACUGAGACACGGCCCAGACUCCUACGGGAGGCAGCAGUAGGGAAUCUUCCGCAAUGGGCGAAAGCCUGACGGAGCGACGCCGCGUGAGCGAAGAAGGCCUUCGGGUCGUAAAGCUCUGUUGUGAGGGACGAAGGAGCGCCGUUUGAAGAAGGCGGCGCGGUGACGGUACCUCACGAGGAAGCCCCGGCUAACUACGUG